AAAGGGUAACGACGGUGUUACCAGAAAAAGGCAUGCAGUGUGUGAGGGCAUAUAUAUGCAUCUCAGCAGCAUCGAUCGUGUGGCCUAGGAUUAACUGAUAUGCAUGUUUCAAUUCCAAUCGAGCUGAGAUGUGUAUCGUCUAAAUGCGUCGUCGAGAGGGAUUGAGAUUUGGUGGGUGAUGGAUUGUGAUUUUGUGUGUCGCCACGAUCACACGACUCCUUGCAUGCAUUGUUCCAAUUCCAAUUUUGUGGACCACCGGCCGGCUACACCGUACCAUGGUGGACCUAGCUAUAUAGCGAUAGAUCAUCGAUGUGCCAACAUCCAUCCAUAUCAUCAGCCUGCAGCUUAUAUUCAUUCUUUAAUUCUUCAUUCAUCGAUAUCGACCACCCCCAUGCCGGCCUGUUACCAAGAAAGCUUGUUGUUGCAUUGGUCCCUAGCUACUCCCUAGAGCUACUAGUAGAUGCCACACUGAUAUAUUCUCUUUUUUUUUGAGAUUACACAGUACAACGCAGACACUCAACACGUACGCACACUCACCCCUAUGAACACACGUACGCAAACCCUACCCCUAUGAGCACCUUCGAAGGACUGAGCCGGCAAAUUUUGAAGUUCACGAAGUCCUCGCUGUCGAGGGGCACGUCGCCUACCACUUAAUGCAUAGCGCCAGAAAAUCCUAGAAUAAAUCCAGAAUAAAGUGCCGCACCCAGGAUUUGAACCCUGGGUGGGAGCCCCCCAACCAAUGGCCUUUGCCAUUGCGCCGUGAACC
rnacentral:lncRNA from 1 species